rnacentral:rRNA from 1 species
AUUGAACGCUGGCGGAAUGCUUUACACAUGCAAGUCGAACGGCAGCACGGGGGCAACCCUGGUGGCGAGUGGCGAACGGGUGAGUAAUACAUCGGAACGUGCCCAGUCGUGGGGGAUAACGUAGCGAAAGCUACGCUAAUACCGCAUACGAACUCUGGUUGAAAGCGGGGGAUCGCAAGACCUCGCGCGAUUGGAGCGGCCGAUGGCAGAUUAGGCAGUUGGUGGGGUAAAGGCUCACCAAGCCGACGAUCUGUAGCUGGUCUGAGAGGACGACCAGCCACACUGGGACUGAGACACGGCCCAGACUCCUACGGGAGGCAGCAGUGGGGAAUUUUGGACAAUGGGCGCAAGCCUGAUCCAGCCAUUCCGCGUGCAGGAUGAAGGCCCUCGGGUUGUAAACUGCUUUUGUACGGAACGAAACGGUGCUAGCUAAUACCUGGCGCUAAUGACGGUACCGUAAGAAUAAGCACCGGCUAACUACGUGCCAGCAGCCGCAGUAACAC